UCUGGCGGCCAUAGCGGCAGGGUAACUCCUGUACCCAUCCCGAACACAGAAGAUAAGAUUGCCAGCGUUUCACCCUGUACUGCGGUGCGAGAGCCCACGGGAACGGUGAAUCGCUGCCAGGU
rfam:Methanosalsum zhilinae DSM 4017, complete genome.